AUACGGAGGGUGCAAGCGUUAAUCGGAAUUACUGGGCGUAAAGCGCUCGUAGGCGGUUUGUUAAGUCGGAUGUGAAAGCCCCGGGCUCAACCUGGGAACUGCAUUCGAUACUGGCAAACUAGAGUAUAGUAGAGGCAAGUGGAAUUCCGGGUGUAGCGGUGAAAUGCGUAGAUAUCCGGAGGAACAUCAGUGACGAAGGCGACUUGCUGGACUAAUUCUGACGCUGAGGAGCGAAAGCGUGGGGAGCAAACGGGAUUAGAAACCCCAGUAGUCC
rnacentral:rRNA from 1 species